UGCAAGCGUUAAUCGGAAUUACUGGGCGUAAAGCGCACGCAGGCGGUUUGUUAAGCCAGAUGUGAAAUCCCCGGGCUCAACCUGGGAACUGCAUUUGAAACUGGCAAGCUAGAGUCUCGUAGAGGGGGGUAGAAUUCCAGGUGUAGCGGUGAAAUGCGUAGAGAUCUGGAGGAAUACCGGUGGCGAAGGCGGCCCCCUGGACGAAGACUGACGCUCAGGUGCGAAAGCGUGGGGAGCAAACAGGAUUAGAUACCCUGGUAGUCCACGCUGUAAACGAUGUCGAUUUGGAGGUUGUGCCCUUGAGGCGUGGCUUCCGGAGCUAACGCGUUAAAUCGACCGCCUGGGGAGUACGGCCGCAAGGUUAAAACUCAAAUGAAUUGACGGGGGCCCGCACAAGCGGUGGAGCAUGUGGUUUAAUUCGAUGCAACGCGAAGAACCUUACCUACUCUUGACAUCCAGAGAACUUUCCAGAGAUGGAUUGGUGCCUUCGGGAACUCUGAGACAGGUGCUGCAUGGCUGUCGUCAGCUCGUGUUGUGAAAUGUUGGGUUAAGUCCCGCAACGAGCGCAACCCUUAUCCUUUGUUGCCAGCGGUUCGGCCGGGAACUCAAAGGAGACUGCCAGUGAUAAACUGGAGGAAGGUGGGGAUGACGUCAAGUCAUCAUGGCCCCUACGAGUAGGGCUACACACGUGCUACAAUGGCAUAUACAAAGAGAAGCGACCUCGCGAGAGCAAGCGGACCUCAUAAAGUAUGUCGUAGUCCGGAUUGGAGUCUGCAACUCGACUCCAUGAAGUCGGAAUCGCUAGUAAUCGUAGAUCAGAAUGCUACGGUGAAUACGUUCCCGGGCCUUGUACACACCGCCCGUCACACCAUGGGAGUGGGUUGCAAAAGAAGUAGGUAGCUUAACCUUCGGGAGGGCGCUUACCACUUUGUGAUUCAUGCCUGGGGUGAAGUCGUAACAAG
rnacentral:rRNA from 1 species